GCGGAGCUCCGUCCCAGGGGGCGUGGCCUAGGCGGGGUGGGCGGGACCCGCUGUGCGGGCGCGGAGGAGCGCGGCGCUCCGGCCGGGGGCAGCGGCGGGGGGAGGCGCAGCGCAGCUCCGGGCUCGGGCAGGGGCUCGAGAUGCGCCCGGGGAGGCAGCGCGGAGCCCCGGGGCCGCCUUCUCCUUCCCUCCGGACCCUAGUCCCAAGACGGCCGGGGACCCCGGUCCUCUGCGCCUCCGGGUGCUUAGUGUUACCUUUUACACGUGGCUAUUCACUAAUUAUCCCCAGAGUUAUUUCAGCUGUGCCCAGAGAGCACAUGAUGGGGCAAUGGCCCCCUCCCCUCCUUCCCUUGCAACCACAUAACCGGCCUUCCUAAUGGCUAGAGGCAAGAAGGGGAUUGCUGCUGGGUCCUGCUCAGUCAUCAGAGACAAGAUUGGCUCGUGGCUGGUCUGUCUGUCCCCUGGACCUCCUGCCGCCCGAGAGCAGAGGAGGGCUCUUCUCCCUGCCCUCCAUGCAGCUACAGCCAGGUAGCUCUUUCCCUCUGUGAACUGGGUGCUGGGAGUGGUGCUCCAGUGGUGCAGAAAAUGCCAUCCCCUGCCUUUGUAGCAUGACUUGAAACCAAAAGUCCCAUGGAAGCCAGUGACGGCGAACCUUUAUGGGGUUUUAUUUUCUUUUUUCCAAUCCUCUUCCUUUUACAACAAGGUGUCUGUGAAACGGCAUCUUGACAUUUUCUCUUAACUUUUUAAUCCUGAGCCAUUUUGGUUGUGGCCAGCUUCAAGGCACUCAUGCUUACAAAAUCAAAUGGAGAUGCGCAGAACUGAGACCGGUUUUCCUGUAGAUUGUCUGAAGAGGCUUCAUCUUUUGUUAAGUGCACUGACGGCGUCUGUCUUGGGGCAGUGGAUUGUUCUUGGUGCUGUGUAUUGAGCUGGUCCCUGAGGGAAUCAUGAUUAAUUGGUUACUGGUAACAGCCAGGCCUGCAGUGAUCCCAGGUCCCAUGCCUCAAAACAGCCACAGUUGCACAAGCACCCAUGUCACAAGUUUUGCCUGUCAGCAGCCAGAGGUGCAGGCCCCCGUGCCCAGAAGCCCUGCACCGAUCUCCUCGACAGCUGGCAGGCUUCGUGGCCGCAGCGGGGGCCACCAUCGCUGCAGUUUUCAGCCCGCUGCACCUUAACACACACACUGUCACCCAUGGCAUGAGUUUUGCCUGUCAGCAGCUCGAGGUGCAGUUCCCCCCGAAACCCUGCACCAAUUGUCUUGAAAUGUGGCAGGCUUCAUGGCCUCAGCAAGGCUACCAGCCCUGCAGUUUUCACCCCGCUGUGGCAUAACACAUACACGUGACAUGAGUUUUGCUUCCAAGAAUGUGGGGUGCAGUUCCCCUGAGCCCCUGCACCGAUCUUCUUGAAACGUGGCAGGCUUCAUGCUCUCAACAGGGGCUACCACCACUGCAAGUUUCACCCAAAUCAGACAAAAAACAACAAAGCUGUCGAUAUUUCAUUGAUUCCCCAUUAUACCCUAUGGCCGGAUCUCCGAGGUGGCUCCAAAGCUUCCUCCUCACCCAGGCCGACUCGUGACUACAAUGGACUGCAGAACCCAGAUCUACUCUAAGCAGGAUUACCUCUAACGUCACAUCCACAGCUGCCCCAUUCAGGCCAUGGAAAGCUGUCUGUGCACCAGGCAAGGCAGGACUGGUGCUGGGACAGUUGGCUGUGCCGACCUCAGAGAAUGGGAGAGCUUUGCAUCUCCCUGGGUGAUUAUAGGAUCGUAUUUCUGAAGACACAUGUACUUUUGGGGCAUCCAGAAGCAAAGACACACAUUUUAAUGGGAUGGAAAGUGGGUCAAACCUGUUUCAAAGGAAGUGUAGAGAGAGUGUCUGAUCUUAUGGGGAAGGGAUGUUGACUGUCAGCACGAAGACUUCUUACAUGAGCUCUGUACAAUGGGAAACAGCAACAGAGAAGAGGUGGUGGGAGGUAGCCAGCAAUAUCAGUGACAUUUAGGAGGCAGCAGUGCAGUACUUGGAGGUACCAAGUAGUUAUUUCAUCUCGGUGAGCAAUUUUAAUUCAUUUUCAGCAAAAUCUUAAAAACUUGAAGACCUGGACUUCUUCAGCUGUGCCAUCACAAACCUGAAGGAUUACAGGGAAAGGAUUUUUGAGCUGCUUCAGGAGAUCACCUACCUAGAUUGAUUUGAUCAGGAAGAAGGGGAUGAGGAGGAUGAAGCAGAUGAAGAUGAAGCUGGUCCACCAGGAGAGUACAAAGAAGAUGAAGAUGAAGAUGAUGGAGGUUCAGAUUUGGGGGAGGGUGAAGAGGAAGAAGAAGCUGGCCUUUCAUACCUGAUGAUGGACAAGAUCCAGAUUGAACCCACAAAUCAUCUGUGCAUUGAGUCAAUUGAUACCUUGGGUGAUGCUGUCAGCACGUACAUGGAGCGGUGAUCAACGUGAGCCAUGAUGCACGACUGAUCACGCAGACCAGCUGCCAGCUCUGGGUGGUGGAGGAGCAGUCCAUCAGCCACAUCAACGGCGACUUCGACUGCAAGUGGGAGGUGCUGGAGGCCUCGGGCCAGGUCAGCAUUAACUGGUCUCGAGAGUGACCUUGCUCUGGGGAGGCUCCUCGAGGACCUGCUCAUCUCCUCUCAGAGACCUGCCUGCACAGCUUCACGAGCACCCACACCCAAAGGCCUCCGUGUAGAGGGGGCAGGGCCGCAGGCAUGGUUGUGGGUUGAACUUUGAAGAUGUGUUUUGGGGGCCUAAUGCAAGACCUGUUUAUUUUUAGAGCUGUUCUUCUACAUCUGCUGCUUUCCCAGGAGAGAGAGACUUAAUUUAUAUGAAUGGGAGGGAGGGGGUUGUACUGGAAUGGUCUAUUUUAGGCAGGAGUGAGGACUAUCCUUGUCCCAUUGCUGGGUUCCCUGUCCCCCAGUCUGGAGAAUGGCUUGAGCCUUGUUUUGCUUCCACCUAAGUGGAUUAUAUUAAAAUUUAAUAAAGGAAAAGUGGCUCGUGAUGGUUUUUAUUCUGAAGCGAUAGGAGUGGGGCUUUCACAGUACUGGCAGGAGGGACACCCCUGAGAUUGCAGUGGACAGACAGACUGGGCUGAGGCAUGGGGAUGGAAAGAGCUUCCCUGUAAGACACAUGGCUUGUCCCAUCAUAGACAAUGAUGGCUGAAAGGGACCUCAAGAGGUCACCUGGUCUAGUCCAACCUUCUGCUUAGAACAGGCCCACCCACAACUAUAUCAUUUAAGGGACGAGUACUGGCCGGGAAGACCCCCUUGAGCCGGGGACAGGCCAAGCACCAGUGCUGUUGUAGUAGCUCUCUCUGUACCCCUAUGCCCAGGAGAUCCGUCUGGGCCCUUGCAGUUGAGCCAUCUGGGACAAGGAUGGUGCCUGGGAUCCACAGGUGCAAGGUGAUAAAUGGCGUCUAAUGGCCAGGGAGGGAUUAGCAUCCCCUGGGCCCUGCAGAGCACACCCCUGCAGGGGGAAGGCAUUUCCGGUCCAGGCUGGGCCUGGCACACACGUAUUCAUUAGAGCUGUCACGGCAGGGGGCUGAUGGUCUCUGACUUCCCCCGGCAGGUCCCCAGGCAGCCCUUGUCCUGGUAACAUCUGAAUUCCUCUGUGCUUGCACUUCCUGACCUCUUGAAUACCCUCGUUCCUCCUGCCAAGCUCAGCCGGGAGCCGCUGGCCCCUGUGGGCAGGGAGCAGGGGCAGAGUUGCGUGAAGGGGCUGAUCUCAGCUCUGGGGGGUUCAGAGAGACUCCGCGGGUCCGAGCCAGAGACCUGUUUGCCUGGGGAAGCCGAGCUAGUCUGGAUUCCCACCGUGGCCUGGGCACCGCUCCUCCUCGUGCUGCUCACACGCUGCUCGGGUACCCCGAAGGGGAGGGUCAGCCACAUCCUGGGCUUUAUGAAUCCCUGGCUCUCUUCCCACAGGUGUUUCUUUUUGGUUUCUUGCCCUUUGGUCCUGCCCUGUCUGCCACAAAACCAGAGGCUCAGUGAGGAUAUGAGAUUAAUUCCUGUCAUUCUCCCAGGUUCCCUCUCGCAGCCCCCACUGACUCAGGCGCCCGCAAAGUCCGUGACUCUGGGCAGCACUGCCAGUCUCUCUCGGACACUGAGCGGUGAGCACAGGCACUGCUGCGUCCACUGGGACCAACAAAACCAGGGCCAGGCCCCACAAUUUCUCUGGCACAGCGAGGGGAUCGAAGGGAAUGGAGUCCCAGACCGAUUCACCGUUUCCAACUCCAGCGCCAUACGCUGUUUAACCACCACCAAUGUCCCUGGGGAAGAUGAGGCCAUUUCCAGGUGUGGUGCAGGUUACAAGAUUGGAGGUAGUUAUGGGUAUGUCAGCGUGACACAGUCAGAUGAGGACCUGAGACAAAAACCUCCCUUGGGCUCGACGGGGCUCUGUGUGGCUUGGAUCUGUGCUCCAUGACGAGUUUGCAUGUCAGCAAGCUCUGCUAGCCCCUCGAGUAGCUACUCGCAGUCUAACAGGCCCUUCCUUGUCCUGCUCUGUCCUCGUACUCUUGGACAGGCACAGCAGCUUUUCACUGUUUCCCCGCCUAGCAGCUCUCUGCCCUUGACUGUCAAACAUAUAUUCCUCCUCUUCUCUUUUCGUAGAAAGGACUAAAGGUUCAGAGACACCUUUCCACACCCACUAUUAGCAAAUGAAGGACGGGAAUGCGUGAUACACAAACCCAGCACAGAUUCAGGAAAAAUGUGUGGUUGCAGCCUUCUCCCCUCUGAUUGCUUGACAGAUGUGUGGUGCCCCCUUCAGUGGGAAUCCCUUUAUUUAAACAAAGAGCUAAACCCACACACCCAUUGAUGAGGAAGGGCAAUCCCAGUUUCGGAUUAAGGACUAUGCAGUGUCAUCCCUAAUCACACAUAAUCCCAUUUGUAUCCAGCCUUUGUCCCACAUCCCUGCUCAGAGGUUCAUAAAAGAGAAAGGAAUUCUCGUUUGGGAAGAAACGAGUGACCUCUCCUCUUCUACUGUCCUCCUCGUGCUGUCUGCCGGGUCCCAUCUUGUCCUGCUCUGUCAUUACAUCCUUUGCCAAGGGGCAAAACAACUUGUCAGUGCUUCCCCUUAGCAGUUCUCUGCUGUACGUGGUGGAGACUCAUUCAUCCCCUCCUCUGUUGCCUGCCAAGGUCUGUAUGCUUGGGAGCCCCUCUGCUCACACAGCGUUCAGAAGCUCAGGGUGGCAUCUCGGGUAAAGGACCAAUCUCCAUCAGGUGUCAUUUCAACUCAAAACUGAUUUCUCUUGAGACCCCUUGGGUGCAUGUGCCCUUCUUUGCAGGGUGAGAGCUUUCUGUAGACAAAGCAUUGGACCCCAUGGACGUCCUGAUGAGGAUGGGAAAUCAGAACAAUGACUACAUAGCGAUGUGGAGCGUCAUCUUGGGUCACGGGUGCUUCCAUCCUGACACUCGAUUACUUUUGCAGACCUUCCUGGGAUGAACAGAGAAAUGGGGAGCCCGCUGUACGAGAGGAGAGUAAAGGAACUGCCUUGUCCUACCUCAUGAGAAGCAGACCGAGAGUGGAGAUGACUGCUCUCUGCAAUUACAUCCGAGAGAGCCAAGAGCCACGCAAAAGAAAAGAACAGUGCCAGCUCCAGAAAAAGUGAGUAAAUAGGAGUCCCACAUAGAAACAGGCUGAAGCUGAGAAGAAGGGUUGUAAUCAUCAGAGCAGGAGGCUCUGGAGCAGGUUCCCCGUGGGAGGGAACAACUCAUUUGAAGAAGCAGAUUGACAGAUUUCAGCAUGGGCUGAUAUGUGGGAUUGCCUGUACUGGGAAGGGUGUGGGCACGAGCCAGGAGGUCCUGUCCAGGCCCAUGUUGCCCUGUCUGCUCCAGUCCAUCUUCAGAGAAAGAUGACCAACCCGUUGCACACGGAAGAGGCCACGAGAGGUCAUUGCUGUCACACAAAUCCCUUCCCUGCCCAGAGUGCAGCUGCCUGCUCUGUGCCCGUGUGUCACACAGGAGGAAACUGGUCCGGGGGGCAGUGCUGGAGGCGCUAGGG